CCUAAAUCAUAUUGUCAGUAGUCUCUUUUGUGAAGAUCGAAAUGUUAAGAAAAUGACUGGGUGUAAUGGCGCAUGAAGUUUCCUUUUGUGAAUCAUUUUAGUUACGCUUGAUAACUGUUUUGUGUUAGCCCCGCAGUUCCCACAGCCCCUCCCUUUCAUACCCUGAUCGCCUCUUUAAAAGCUCAGACUGAGAUCGUGUCAGAAUGGUGAAAAGCCAAAGAAAUACCUCUAAGAAAAUGGUGAAGGAAGAGUCGUCUAUCCAAGAGGAGAAGGAAGAAGAGUCUUGUUAGAAUGAGCUUUUUGAAACAAUACCACCGUGCAGAACAAAAAAGCGAUGUCCUGAGGCGUGGACACGAUGACCGCACCUACACAAGAGCGCACGACUCGACUUUACACGGAGGAGAAGAGAAGCACUUCUGUGGCACAGGGAAAAAGGACGGACCCUAAAACCUACCUGCUAUUGGAAUGUUCUGGGUGACUGACAGCUGGACAUCUCCUGUCCCAGGAGGCAUGUCCACCACCAGGCGCUCCACGGCAGACAUCACCAUCAGGCCCCUCCACACUAUCGGAGACGCGUCUUCCACCAGGAAGCCCAUUGACAUGCUGACAGAAGAGAGGAAAUCAUCAAUAAGGAUAUCCGCCAUUCCAACGAGACCUGAAGAAUCAGACAGCAUCAACUGACCAGGGAACGCCGUAGUUGGUUCAUCAGUCUGGGAACAGACGGGCCGUAGACGUCAACGUCCAACAGACCAGCAGACUUAGACUGAGACACAUAAAAGUCUCUGUCAGAGGACAAAUGUCUCAGAGACAGGAAAGGUCUUCACAGGGCAGAAGACAAUGUCUGAUGUUCAGAAGCAUGAGAGUAAAACACGUCUUAAUAACAACAACAACAACAACAAUAAUAGACAUCUUACCUGAUCAUUAGCCAUUAAUGCAAGAGCCAGAUUUACUGCAAAGACACAUAAACAGACUUUAACCCCAUCUGGCAGUCAUUAGGAUCAUGUAUGACAUGUAGCUCUUUCUACUUAUGUCAUCAUUUAACUGAAGUAUGUUUUAGAUUUUGAUUGUGAUGUCAGACUUCAGUCUUAUAUUUAAUCAUGCUUAAAAGUAAAGAACCUCUUUCAAAGA